rnacentral:tRNA from 1 species
GCCUGGGUGGCUCAGUUGGUUGAGCGUCCGACUUCAGCUCAGGUCAUGGUCUCACGGUUCGUGGGUUCGAGCCCCGCAUCGGGCU